rnacentral:rRNA from 1 species
GAUGAACGCUGGCGGCGUGCCUAAUACAUGCAAGUCGAGCGAAUGGAUUAAGAGCUUGCUCUUAUGAAGUUAGCGGCGGACGGGUGAGUAACACGUGGGUAACCUGCCCAUAAGACUGGGAUAACUCCGGGAAACCGGGGCUAAUACCGGAUAACAUUUUGAACCGCAUGGUUCGAAAUUGAAAGGCGGCUUCGGCGGUCACUUAUGGAUGGACCCGCGUCGCAUUAGCUAGUUGGUGAGGUAACGGCUCACCAAGGCAACGAUGCGUAGCCGACCUGGUAGGGUGAUCGGCCACACUGGGACUGAGACACGGCCCAGACUCCUACGGGAGGCAGCAGUAGGGAAUCUUCCGCAAUGGACGAAAGUCUGACGGAGCAACGCCGCGUGAGUGAUGAAGGCUUUCGGGUCGUAAAACUCUGUUGUUAGGGAAGAACAAGUGCUAGUUGAAUAAGCUGGCACCUUGACGGUACCUAACCAGAAAGCCACGGCUAACUACGUGCCAGCCGCCGCGGUAA